rnacentral:rRNA from 1 species
ACAUGCAAGUCGAGCGAAGAGAUGGGAGCUUGCUCCCAGUAUCUUAGCGGCGGACGGGUGAGUAACACGUGGGCAACCUGCCCUGCAGACUGGGAUAACUCCGGGAAACCGGAGCUAAUACCGGGUAAUACAUCGCACCGCAUGGUGCAAUGUUGAAAGUUGGCUUUCUGAGCUAACACUGCAGGAUGGGCCCGCGGCGCAUUAGCUAGUUGGUAAGGUAAUGGCUUACCAAGGCGACGAUGCGUAGCCGACCUGAGAGGGUGAUCGGCCACACUGGGACUGAGACACGGCCCAGACUCCUACGGGAGGCAGCAGUAGGGAAUCUUCCGCAAUGGACGAAAGUCUGACGGAGCAACGCCGCGUGAGUGACGAAGGCCUUCGGGUCGUAAAGCUCUGUUGUUAGGGAAGAACAAGUACCGUUCGAAUAGGGCGGUACCUUGACGGUACCUAACCAGAAAGCCACGGCUAACUACGUGCCAGCAGCCGCGGUAAUACGUAGGUGGCAAGCGUUGUCCGGAAUUAUUGGGCGUAAAGCGCGCGCAGGCGG